UACGUAGGGGGCGAGCGUUGUCCGGAUUUAUUGGGCGUAAAGCGCGUGUAGGCGGUCCGGUAAGUCCGCUGUGAAAGUCGAGGGCUCAACCCUCGAAUGCCGGUGGAUACUGUCGGGCUUGAGUACGGGAGAGGCGAGUGGAAUUCCUGGUGUAGCGGUGAAAUGCGCAGAUAUCAGGAGGAACACCGAUUGCGAAGGCAGCUCGCUGGAACGUUACUGACGCUGAGACGCGAAAGCGUGGGGAGCAAACAGG
rnacentral:rRNA from 1 species